CGGCACUCCAGAUGUUUUAGACUACACUUCCCAUGAUGCUUUGCCAGCAUUAUGGGUGUAAGAGCAUUAUGGAGGGUGACGUUUACAACAUCUGGAGUGUCG